rnacentral:rRNA from 1 species
UACGGAGGGUGCGAGCGUUGUCCGGAAUCACUGGGCGUAAAGGGCGCGUAGGUGGCCCGUUAAGUGGUUGGUGAAAUCCCGGGGCUCAACUCCGGGGCUGCCGGUCAGACUGGCGGGCUAGAGCACGGUAGGGGCAGAUGGAAUUCCCGGUGUAGCGGUGGAAUGCGUAGAGAUCGGGAAGAACACCAGUGGCGAAGGCGUUCUGCUGGGCCGUUGCUGACACUGAGGCGCGACAGCGUGGGGAGCAAACAGGAUUAGAAACCCCCGUAGUCC